rnacentral:rRNA from 1 species
GUCCUACGGGGGGCAGCAGUGGGGAAUAUUGCACAAUGGGGGAAACCCUGAUGCGGCAACGCCGCGUGAGUGAAGAAGUAUUUCGGUAUGUAAAGCUCUAUCAGCAGGGAAGAGAAUGACGGUACCUGACUAAGAAGCCCCGGCUAACUACGUGCCAGCAGCCGCGGUAAUACGUAGGGGGCGAGCGUUAUCCGGAUUUACUGGGUGUAAAGGGAGCGUAGACGGUUCUGCAAGUCUGAAGUGAAAG